AGAGGAGAAAGAAUUGAUGUAAAUCCUUGGUGAAGCCAAGCUCCAAUCAUGCAUUUCACAAUAGAUGCAUAGAUUCCUUCCCAACAACCACACCAUGAAAACAUUAGUUGGGUCAUAGUUUAAGAUAAAGUCUACAAAACAGCUGUUAAGAGGCGUGGCAGUGUGAUUUUCGGAAGAAUUUUGUGAGGCUCCUUUUGUACUAUUAUUUGAUGGUUAGAGCAACUUUCAUUCAUUUCUCUGCCGAC
rnacentral:lncRNA from 1 species